AGACCCGAAACCCGGUGAUCUAGCCAUGGGCAGGUUGAAGGUUGGGUAACACUAACUGGAGGACCGAACCGACUAAUGUUGAAAAAUUAGCGGAUGACCUGUGGCUGGGGGUGAAAGGCCAAUCAAACCGGGAGAUAGCUGGUUCUCCCCGAAAGCUAUUUAGGUAGCGCCUCGUGAAUUCAUCUCCGGGGGUAGAGCACUGUUUCGGCUAGGGGGCCAUCCCGGCUUACCAACCCGAUGCAAACUGCGAAUACCGGAGAAUGUUAUCACGGGAGACACACGGCGGGUGCUAACGUCCGUCGUGAAGAGGGAAACAACCCAGACCGCCAGCUAAGGUCCCAAAGUCAUGGUUAAGUGGGAAACGAUGUGGGAAGGCCCAGACAGCCAGGAUGUUGGCUUAGAAGCAGCCAUCAUUUAAAGAAAGCGUAAUAGCUCACUGGUCGAGUCGGCCUGCGCGGAAGAUGUAACGGGGCUAAACCAUGCACCGAAGCUGCGGCAGCGAACGUAUCACUUAAAGCGAUUCAGCGGGUUACGAUUGACGGAGCGAAGCGACGUCAAAGCGUAUACAAAGUCGAGUCGGUUUAAGGAUACGUUCGUUGGGUAGGGGAGCGUUCUGUAAGCCUGCGAAGGUGGCCU
rnacentral:rRNA from 1 species